rnacentral:lncRNA from 1 species
UCAGACCAGUGACCACCAUAUGUUAUAUUAUACAUUUAUAUAUGUGUGUGUAUGUGUGUAUUUAUAUAUAUUUAUAAUUAAAAAUCAAACUGUGAGUGCAUAUGAACUUACUCAGCAUGUGAAGGUGAAAUCAUGGCAACCCAGUACUCUCCUUUAGAAGGAUCCAAAAUUCCAGAAAUAUGAACAGUAACAAAGUCCUCAUCAGAAAGGGUUGAAUUUGAGGAAGUAGUUAUACUAAUAUACGGGUUCGGGUCGGGGCAUUUGGGUAGGACUCUUCGGUUCAGUAUUCGGAAUUCGGAUAUAGCUGUAUGGUUAAUAAAUUCAGAUGUUGAAUUUACAAUUAUGUUUGAUAAUGUAUAAUUAUUUGAAGAAGAUGAAAAUGAAGGAGAGAUGAAGAACAAAAUGAAGAAUAGAAUUGGUGAUAAAAUUUUAGAAAAUUUGGAGGAAGAAGCCAUUGGAGAGGACAUUGAUG